AGAGUUUGAUCCUGGCUCAGGACGAACGCUGGCGGCGUGCUUAACACAUGCAAGUCGAACGGUCUACCUCGACGGAAACCUUCGGGUUGAAGACGAGAUCUAGAUAGUGGCGGACGGGUGAGUAACACGUGGAUAACCUGUCCUCAAGACUGGGAUAACCUGGCGAAAGUCGGGCUAAUCCCGGGUAAGCUGAGAGUGUGGCAUCACACAAUCAGAAAAGGUGGUUUUACCAUCGUUUGAGGAGGGGUCCGCGGUAGAUUAGCUAGCUGGUGAGGUAAAGGCUCACCAGGGCGACAAUCUAUAGCUGGUCUGAGAGGACGAUCAGUCACACUGGAACUGAGACACGGUCCAGACUCCUACGGGAGGCAGCAGUGGGGAAUCUUCCACAAUGGGCGCAAGCCUGAUGGAGCAACGCCGCGUGAGUGAAGAAGGUCUUAGGAUUGUAAAGCUCUGUCCUUAGGGAAGAACCGUGGGUAUAGUAUAAUGAUACCCAUCUGACGGUACCUUUGGAGGAAGCACUGGCUAACUACGUGCCAGCAGCCGCGGUAAUACGUAGAGUGCAAGCGUUGUCCGGAAUUAUUGGGCGUAAAGGGUACGCAGGCGGAUAAUCGAGUCAAGCGUGAAAGGUGUCGGCUUAACCGACAGACUGCGUUUGAAACUGGUUAUCUUGAGUGUAACAGAGGAGAGUGGAAUUCCUAGUGUAGUGGUGAAAUA
rnacentral:rRNA from 1 species